rnacentral:sRNA from 1 species
UCAAUUGACCACUCCGCCAUUGUGUGGAC